ACCUGGCUCACGCCGGUUUAAACUCAGAUCAUGUAAAAUUUUAAAGGUCGAACAGACCCAAUUUAUUAGCUUCUACACCAAUAAUUUYUUUUAAUCCAACAUCGAGGUCGCAAUCUUUUUUUUUAAUUUGAACUCUAAAAAAAAAUUACGCUGUUAUCCCUAAGGUAAUUUUAUCUUAUAAUCUUAAUUUAAGGAUCAAUUUUUCAUUUAUAGAUGAUUUUAUACAAAAAAAGUUUAUUUAAUUUUUCAAUCACC
rnacentral:rRNA from 1 species